UACAGAGGGUGCGAACGUUGCUCGGAAUUACUGGGCGUAAAGCGCGUGUAGGCGGUCCGUUAAGUUGGUAGUGAAAUCCCAUGGCUCAACCAUGGAAGUGCUGCCAAAACUGGCGGGCUGGAGUGCCGGAGAGGGUGGCGGAAUUCCCAGUGUAGAGGUGAAAUUCGUAGAUAUUGGGAGGAACACCGGUGGCGAAGGCGGCCACCUGGACGGUAACUGACGCUAAGACGCGAAAGCCAGGGGAGCAAACGGG
rnacentral:rRNA from 1 species